UGAAGCAGAUGUUGAGCAGACAGCUGUGGCUGAUGUUCUGAUUAUGUUCUGUUAAUCUUUGUUCAUUCAUACCAUAGGUUCAUACGAAGUUUCAUAAUCGACAGGCACAUGCUCCUGGCAGUGACACCUCCUGUCUUAGCUUCUCAUACGAUGGCAACACCCUGGCCUCACGUGGUGGUAUUGGCACCAUUAAGACCUGGA